rnacentral:rRNA from 1 species
AUUGAACGCUGGCGGCAGGCCUAACACAUGCAAGUCGAACGAGUGGCGGACGGGUUAGUAAUGUAUGGGAAACUGCCCGAUGGAGGGGGAUAACUACUGGAAACGGUAGCUAAUACCGCAUUCCAUCGGGUGGGCCCAGGUGGGAUUAGCUAGGAGGUGGGGUAAAGGCUCACCUAGGCGACGAUCCCUAGCUGGGGUGCGAGGAUGACCAGCCACACUGGAACUGAGACACGGUCAAGACUCCUACGGGAGGCAGGAGUGGGGAAUAUUGGACAAUGGGCGAAAGCCUGAUGCAGCCAUGCCGCGUGUCUGAAGAAGGGCUUCGGGUUGUAAAGUACUUUCAGCGAGGAGGCGUUACUCGCAGAAGAAGCACCGGCUAACUCCGUGCCAGCAGCCGCGGUAAUAC